UACGUAGGGGGCGAGCGUUGUCCGGAUUUAUUGGGCGUAAAGAGCUCGUAGGCGGCUUGGCAAGUCGGGUGUGAAACCUCCAGGCUCAACCUGGAGACGCCACUCGAUACUGCCAUGGCUAGAGUCCGGUAGGGGACCACGGAAUUCCUGGUGUAGCGGUGAAAUGCGCAGAUAUCAGGAGGAACACCGGUGGCGAAGGCGGUGGUCUGGGCCGGCACUGACGCUGAGGAGCGAAAGCGUGGGUAGCAAACAGG
rnacentral:rRNA from 3 species